rnacentral:rRNA from 1 species
GAUGACGAGUAGCUUGCUUCUCAGAUUUAGCGGCGGACGGGUGAGUAACACGUGGUCAACCUGCCCUACAGAUCGGGAUAACUCAGGGAAACCUGGGCUAAUACCGGAUAAUCCUUCGAAUCACAUGUUUUGAAGUUGAAAGGCGCUUCGGCGUCACUGUCGGAUGGGCCCGCGGUGCAUUAGCUAGUUGGUGGGGUAACGGCCUACCAAGGCAACGAUGCAUAGCCGACCUGAGAGGGUGAUCGGCCACAUUGGGACUGAGACACGGCCCAGACUAAUACGGGAGGCAGCAGUAGGGAAUCUUCCACAAUGGACAAAAGUCUGAUGGAGCAACGCCGCGUGAGUGAUGAAGGUUUUCGGAUCGUAAAACUCUGUUGUAAGGGAAGAACAAGUACGUUAGGAAAUGAACGUACCUUGACGGUACCUUAUUAGAAAGCCACGGCUAACUACGUGCCAGCAGCCGCGGUAAUACGUAUGUGGCAAGCGUUGUCCGGAUUUAUUGGGCGUAAAGCGCGCGCACGUGCUUUCUUAAGUCUGAUGUGAAAGCCCACGGCUCAACCGUGGAGAGUCAUUGGAAACUGAGGGACUUGAGUGCAGAAGAGGAUAGUGGAAUUCCAAGUGUAGCGGUGAAAUGCGUAUAGAUGUCGGAUGAACACCAGUGACGAAGCGACUGUCUGGACCAGUAACUGACACCUGAAGCGUCGGAAUCCUAGAGCAGUAAACACGAUAGAUACCCUGGGUCAUGCCACGACCCUAACCAUAGCUGCCAGAUGUAAGGGGAUUCCGCUCUGUAGCUGCAGCUAAGCCUUAAGACUC